rnacentral:rRNA from 1 species
UACGUAGGAGGCAAGCGUUGUCCGGAAUUACUGGGCGUAAAGCGCGUGUAGGUGGUGGGACAAGUCUGCUGUGAAAGCGCCUGGCUUAACCGGGCGAGGUCGGCGGAAACUGUCCGACUCGAGGACGGUAGAGGGGGGGGUGGAAUUCCCGGUGUAGUGGUGAAAUGCGUAGAGAUCGGGAGGAACACCUGUGGCGAAGGCGGCCCCCUGGGCCGGCCCUGACACUGAGACGCGAAGGCGUGGGGAGCGAACGGG